rnacentral:tRNA from 1 species
GGCCCCCUUCGUCUAGUGGUUAGGACCCCGGGCCCUUUUCACGCCGGCAGCACGGGUUCGAGUCCCGUGGGGGUCGCCA